ACGUCGUAACGACUCUCGGCAACGGAUAUCUCGGCUCUCGCAUCGAUGAAGACCGCA
rnacentral:rRNA from 1 species